GAUGAACGCUGGCGGCGUGCCUAAUACAUGCAAGUUGAGCGAUGAGACUUGGUGCUUGCACCUCUUUGAAUAGCAGCGAACGGGUGAGUAACGCGUGGGUAAUCUACCUUUAAGCCGGGGACAACUUCUGGAAACCAAUGCUAAUACCGCAUAACAUCUUUAACCGUAUGGUUCAAGAUUGAAAGAUGCUAUUGCAUUGACUAAUGGUGAUCCCGCCGUGUAUUUGCUAGUUGGUUAGGUAAAGGCCUACCAAGGCAACGAUGCAUAGCCGACCUGAGAGGGUGAUCGGCCAAAGUGGAAGUGAGACACGGUCAAGAAUCAUACGGGAGGCAGCAGUAGGGAAUCUUCCGCAAUGGGCGAAAGCAUGACGGAGCAAAGCAGAGGGAGGGAUGAAGGGCGUCGGAUCGUAAAACUCGGUUAUUAGGGAAGAACAAAUGUGUAAGUAACUGUGCACGUCUUGACGGUACCUAAUCAGAAAGCCACGGCUAACUACGUG
rnacentral:rRNA from 1 species